AGUGAACGCUGGCGGUAGGCCUAACACAUGCAAGUCGAACGGCAGCACAGUAAGAGCUUGCUCUUACGGGUGGCGAGUGGCGGACGGGUGAGGAAUACAUCGGAAUCUACUUUUUCGUGGGGGAUAACGUAGGGAAACUUACGCUAAUACCGCAUACGACCUACGGGUGAAAGCAGGGGAUCUUCGGACCUUGCGCGAUUGAAUGAGACGAUGUCGGAUUAGCUAGUUGGCGGGGUAAAGGCCCACCAAGGCGACGAUCCGUAGCUGGUCUGAGAGGAUGAUCAGCCACACUGGAACUGAGACACGGUCCAGACUCCUACGGGAGGCAGCAGUGGGGAAUAUUGGACAAUGGGCGCAAGCCUGAUUCAGCCAUACCGCGUGGGUGAAGAAGGCCUUCGGGUUGUAAAGCCCUUUUGUUGGGAAAGAAAAGCAGCAGGUUAAUACCCCGCUGUUCUGACGGUACCCAAAGAAUAAGCACCGGCUAACUUCGUG
rnacentral:rRNA from 1 species